GAUGAACGCUAGCUACAGGCUUAACACAUGCAAGUCGAGGGGCAGCAUUAUCGAAGCUUGCUUUGAUAGAUGGCGACCGGCGCACGGGUGAGUAACGCGUAUCCAACCUUCCCUAUAGUAGGGGAUAGCCCGUAGAAAUGCGGAUUAAUACCCUAUGUUGUAUUUUGAUGACAUCUGACGAAUACCAAAGGUUUACCGCUAUAGGAUGGGGAUGCGUCUGAUUAGGUAGUCGGCGGGGUAACGGCCCACCAAGCCUGCGAUCAGUAGGGGUUCUGAGAGGAAGGUCCCCCACAUUGGAACUGAGACACGGUCCAAACUCC
rnacentral:rRNA from 1 species